CGGUAAUUCCAGCUCCAAUAGCGUAUAUUAAAGUUGUUGCUGUUAAAAAGCUCGUAGUUGAACUUCUGACAGCGAGCAGGUUUGGCUUUGGCCAGCCUGUUCGUUGUCAUCCGUCUGCAAACCUUGUACGUCCUUCAGUGGUUCGGCAAGGGGAGUAGACAAUUUACUUUGAAAAAAUUAGAGUGUUCAAAGCAGGUAUUAGCCUGAAUACUUUAGCAUGGAAUAAUGGAAUACGACUCUUGUCUAUUUAUGUUGGUUAUUAGACUUGAGUAAUGAUUAAUAGGGACAGUUGAAGGCAUUGGUACUUAAUUGUCAGAGGUGAAAUUCAUGGAUUUAUUAAAGACUAACUAAUGCGAAAGCAUUUGCCAAGGAUGUUUUCAUUAAUCAAGAACGAAAGUUCGAGGAUAGACAGCGAUCAGACACCACUUUAUUUCGAACUAUAAACUAUACCGAUUUGAGAUAGCCAAUUU
rnacentral:rRNA from 1 species